rfam:Aphanomyces invadans strain NJM9701 unplaced genomic scaffold supercont1.74, whole genome shotgun sequence.
GCGCGAGUAGCUCAGUGGUAGAGCGUCAGAUUGCAGCUCUGAGGGUCACCGGUUCGAACCCGGUCUGGCGCU